CUCAUCGACUGGCCUGGAAAUCACUGUAGAGACCAGGCUGGCCCUGAACUCACAGAGACCUACCUACCUACCUCUGAGUUCUGGGAUUAAAGGACAAUGAAGGUCAGACAGCUCUUCACUAUGCUGCUGCCUGUGAGUUUUUGGACAUUGUGGAUCUGCUUCUCUUGUCUGGCGCUGACCCCUCUCUCCGAGACCAAGACGGCUCUCUGCCAGAAGAGGUGACGGGAUGCAAAGCAGUUUCUCUGGUGCUGCAACGGCACAGGGCUAGCAAGUCUUGAUCCAAAGGCUGGAAAAACACAGUCUGGCAAAUAAGACUUCAGGGAUGAAAGAAACUGCAAAAAUAAUACUUCUUUACCACCCAUCUUUGGUAUGCAUUGGCUAAUAAAAUCAGUUCUGAGGAACUGGGA